GACACGAGAGAUUAAAGGUAUC
rnacentral:siRNA from 1 species